AUUCAAAUAUCACAUUACAUUUGUAAAUUGCGGCUGAGGUAAGCGGCUUUUGCUUACAAACUGACAUAUCGGGUUAACAGUUGAACAACUCAAGUAACCAGCCAAUAAAGCAGGCCCAGCGCCAUGCAGUUCGAAAAAAAAAACGAAAUAAAUAAACUGGAACACUUUUUAUAUCAUCUUUGUCAAUUUACAUAUUCAUAAUUACGUUUUUCUGUGGCAAUAUACAUACAUAUGUAUGCACAUACAAAUGUGUUGGACAAAAUGUUUCUCGUUUUCUGGUGUUCAAUGUGAGUGUUGUAAUUAAAUAUGAAAACCGCAAAAAUGCAAAUAAAAAUAUACAUAGUUAUAUGUAUGUAUGUAUAUUAUUGUAACUAUAUGGCAAUAAAAAAUUAUUGGUUGCGGAUCAACAUUUAUGUAAAUGAAGCGCGUUCCGAAUAACGCUUUGCAAGUUAUACGGCAGCUCAAGCGAAGUGGGGCCUGGAUGGAAAAAAAAAAUGAUAAAUGAAAAACUAUUUUUGAUACGCGUGAAAAUUUGGAAAGUGGCGAACCGAACAAGCAAUUGAUAUAAGCCAAUAAAAUAAAUGAAACUCUUUCGACAAAAGAUACAAACUCAAAUAUAUGCAAGCAUUCAAAGAGGGCUGAAAUAAAUAUGACACAGAUUAUCUUUAAGCCGUUUACUGUGAAAAUUGAAAUAAAAAAACCAGAAAAACGUUAACUCGGCUGCACCAAAAUUAAAAUAUCCUUUACAGCGCCUGCAUUCAAAUUGAUUUCUGUGAAUUUCUCCGCCUUUGCGAUAUUAACUGGACUCCUCACACCACUAACGCUCACAAUUAACUUCAUGGAAAAUUGGAAAUAUUUAUUUUUCUCUUGUCUCAAGCGUGUGCUAGUUAGUUAGCUGGUGUGUUUGUUGAGAAAAUCGUGAGUAGUUGUAAAAUUAAAUUUGCCAUUUCAUGUGUGAACAACAACGCCCAUUGGUCUACAGGACGUAUGAGUAAUAACAUUUUUAUAUUGCCGUUACAUCAUGUAUGUCAGUGAAAGGGAGUGGCUGGAUUGUCAUCAGCUGUUGCUGUUA